AUUGAACGCUGGCGGCAUGCCUUACACAUGCAAGUCGAACGGUAACAGGGGCUUCGGCCCGCUGACGAGUGGCGGACGGGUGAGUAAUGCAUCGGAAUGUACCCAGUAGUGGGGGAUAGCUCGGCGAAAGCCGGAUUAAUACCGCAUACGCACGGUGGUGGAAAGCGGGGACCUUCGGGCCUCGUGCUAUUGGAGCAGCCGAUGUCAGAUUAGCUAGUUGGUGGGGUAAAAGCCUACCAAGGCGACGAUCUGUAACUGGUCUGAGAGGACGACCAGUCACACUGGGACUGAGACACGGCCCAGACUCCUACGGGAGGCAGCAGUGGGGAAUUUUGGACAAUGGGCGCAAGCCUGAUCCAGCAAUGCCGCGUGUGUGACGAAGGCCUUCGGGUUGUAAAGCACUUUUGUUCGGGAAGAAAUCCGCCGGGCUAAUAUCCUGGCGGGACGACGGUACCGGAAGAAUAAGCACCGGCUAACUACGUGCCAGCAGCCGCAGUAAUAC
rnacentral:rRNA from 1 species